GACGAACGCUGGCGGCGUGCCUAAUACAUGCAAGUAGAACGCUGAAGGAGGAGCUUGCUUCUCUGGAUGAGUUGCGAACGGGUGAGUAACGCGUAGGUAACCUGCCUGGUAGCGGGGGAUAACUAUUGGAAACGAUAGCUAAUACCGCAUAAUAGUAGAUGUUGCAUGACAUUUACUUAAAAGGUGCAAUUGCAUCACUACCAGAUGGACCUGCGUUUUAUUAGCUAGUUGGUGGGGUAACGGCUCACCAAGGCGACGAUACAUAGCCGACCUGAGAGGGUGAUCGGCCACACUGGGACUGAGACACGGCCCAGACUCCUACGGGAGGCAGCAGUAGGGAAUCUUCGGCAAUGGACGAAAGUCUGACCGAGCAACGCCGCGUGAGUGAAGAAGGUUUUCGGAUCGUAAAGCUCUGUUGUAAGAGAAGAACGAGUGUGAGAGUGGAAAGUUCACACUGUGACGGUAUCUUACCAGAAAGGGACGGCUAACUACGUG
rnacentral:rRNA from 1 species